rnacentral:piRNA from 1 species
UCUAAUUCUGAAUUUCGAUGC